GUGAGGAUGAAUAUUUUAAUCCACUGUUUUUUGAACAUAGUCCAUGGAUUUUUAGUUAAGACUUUAGACUUUUAAGCUGAUCAGAUCUGGUUUGAAUGGAUCGAUCUUUUUUAAUUCCAAAAAUACUGCAGUUCUUUUGCUGUAGUCUAAAAAAUAGGUCAAGUUUUCCGGUCUGAGCGCGUGGCACCAAAGCAUUUUGGAAAUGAGGUCAUCACAAUUCUUCAUCUGAGCUUUCCUUUUUUCCAGUUUUUUUUAGUAUUCUUAAGCUACAGAUUUUGGUUUCAUUACUUUUUCCUCAUCCUGCAUCAAGAUGCCUCGAGCAAACACUCAACAACAGAUAGCAAUAACCAAAGAUUUUUGGAAAUUUCUACGCUCGAAAAAUCUGAAACCAGACUCAAAACAGGAGCUAAGAAAUAUUUAUUACGACGAGUUCAAGAAAGGGCUAAUUCCUUCUGGACCGACUGUUGCUUUUUCUUCAAUUUUAUAUCAUUUAAAGAGGAUGAAGAGGCUAACGAAAGGCAGUGAGCCUGAUUCAAUAUUAUACUAUGAGAGAAGAGGCAAGAAGAUGGUUAUUGCAGUCGAUCAGACGUAUGUCCAAAGACGUAAAAACCGUCAAAGUGGGCAAAAGAGGAAAGAUGUCAAUGAUAAGGAAGUUCCAAGAAACCAAAGCUUUGUUGAAGACCUCAAGAAGGUUUUUCUGAAGAAUAAGGACAUUCUCACUGAAGACAAGAAAAAUGUUCGAAUAUACUCAGACCUUGACAUCUCGCAUGGAGUGAUUGACUUUGGAGAGUUUCCAGUUAAUGGCAGCUCUGAAGUCCUCGAAAUCACAAUCAAAAAUACAGGGGCCACUCCAGUUAAGUUGAAAAGAUUUGCUGCUCUCGACAAAGUUUCAGAAUUUAUCUUAGAAGACAAGCACCGUGUAACUGAAAUGAACAGUGAAACAUUCAAGGUUCUUAAAAUAAAUAGCUUGAAGCAAUAUCGCAUAUCUGCACUCUUCAAGCCGUUAAGCCUGGGAAAUUUUAAACUACCAAUAGUAUUUGAGUUUGAAGAAGAAGGGCCUGAAACAAAGGUUUUCCAUGUCGCACGAUUCUUGGUCGGACAAGCAACAGAUGAAGCUGUUAGGAGUAUUCUGCCAACAGCAGAAUAUCAUCAUCCUUCUCCUCUUGCAAAGAUUUAUGAUCCAAAGGUUGAUGUCAUUGCUGGGGUACCUCCAGAUACACAUGAAAGCAGGCUAGUAUACAAGGUUCGUCUUAAUCAGUACCGAAUCCCCUUUGAAUUGAGAGUCAGCCUAAACAAAGGCAAUCCAAACAGUCACCUUGAGGAGCUUCUCCAAGCAGAGUUGUCAUCAAGGAACUACCGAGAAAGAUUUGCAGCUCUGUUGCACAUUGAAGAAAUGCAGAUGGAGGUUGAUAUUCAUCACUAUGAUAAGCACAAUGCAACAAUGACCCGAGAUGGCCCAUUUCUGGUUCUCAAGGUUCCUGGUCUUGCUGAAAACCGUCCAUCCGUCAUCAAAGGAGAUCAUCUUUACGUAAGGAUACAAGACAAGGAUGGUGUUGCAGAGGACAAAGAAUAUCAGGGAUUUGUGCAUCAUGUGGAGCUGAAUGACGUGAAACUUAAAUUCCAUCAGAGUUUCCAUAAGAAAUACAUCAAGGGAAUGAAAGUCCAAGUGAGGUUCACCUUUGGAAGGACGCCCCUCAAGAUAAUGCAUCGUUCUCUGCAACUGCAUUCUGAUGUCGUUGAGUUUGAUCAAGUCUUGGCUCUAAAUAAAGAAGAGGGGCAACAUUUAGAACGUGUUUGUCCUGUACAAGUGGUGAAAAAGCUUUUCAAUGCUAAGCUGGAAAAAAACCCAGAACAAUUCCAGGCAGUUACCAAUAUAGUGCUUGGUACAUCACGACCUGCUCCAUACCUUAUCUUUGGUCCACCAGGCACUGGAAAGACAGUGACAGUAGUUGAAGCAAUUAAACAGGUGCUGAAGUUAUUUAAAAACAGCCAUGUUCUGGCCUGUGCACCAUCCAACAGUGCAGCAGAUCUAAUCCUUGAACGUGUUAUUGAACACAAUGUUGUCCCAAAAGCACAGAUGCUCCGGCUUAAUGCAUAUGGACGUUCACAGUCAACUCUACCAGAAUCUAUCAAGCCAUUUUGCUGCAUUGAGGACAAGGAGUUCUUCUUUCCAUCAGUAGAAGACAUUAUGUCAAAGAGGCUUGUAGUCUGUACACUCAUUACUUCUGGAAGACUUGUUUCGGCGGGAAUCACAGACAAACAUUUUACCCAUGUCUUCAUUGAUGAGGCAGGGCAUAGCCUUGAGCCAGAGUGCUUGGUCCCCCUGGCUGGUUUAAUCAACCCUAGGAAUCCAGGAGGGGGACAGGUUGUCCUUGCAGGUGAUCCACAGCAGCUUGGACCUGUACUGAGGUCUCCUAUAGCUGUCAAGUAUGGCUUGGGUGUUUCACUCCUGGAAAGAAUCAUGACCAAGACUCCUUAUUAUGGUCGCAUCCUUGAUGAGGAUGAUGAAGAAGAUGAGCUUGGUGAAUACAAUCCGUUACUUCUUACUAAACUGCUGAAGAACUACCGGUCACAUCCAGCUAUAUUAGAGUUACCCAAUGAGAUGUUUUACGACGAUGAACUGGAAGCAUGUGCAGAUGAACUCAAGAGAAAUUCUCUGUGUCAGUGGAGUAAAUUGCCAACCAAAGAUUUCCCCAUCAUCUUCCAUGGUGUCAAAGGUCGUGACAUGAGGGAAGAGAACAGUCCAUCAUUCUUCAACCCUGAGGAAGCUGUUACUGUCGUCAAAUGUGUGAAGGACCUUAGAGAUAGUAGAGGAGUUAACAUCUUGACCAAAGACAUUGGGAUCAUAUCGCCAUACAGAAAACAGCUUUCAAAGUCCCACAGAAUUAACUUAAAUCCCCAAGAUCCUAGCUGGUCAAUGACAUGAAGCAACUGAUCCACGAGGCUGUUUCACGUCACCAAAGCUGUUGCCCAUAGCAACGUGAAUCAUAAAAGCGUAUCGCUGCCUGUAUGCCAUGUUUCUAAGAUACGACAGCUCUUAUCCCACGAGAACAUCCAUGAUGCCAAGGUAGGGUCUGUGGAAGAGUUUCAAGGCCAGGAGCGUCGAGUUAUCAUUAUUUCCACCGUGAGAAGUUCUCAAGAAUACUUGCAAGUGG
rnacentral:misc_RNA from 1 species